CUCUGCCCCUGCUCCUCCGCAGCUCGCUCUUUCUUUCACUCGUAGUGUAUUUUGUUCUGUUGCCUGCCUGCCACCAUGAAGGUUGUGGCUGCCUAUUUGUUGGCCCUUCUGGGAGGCAACUCCGCCCCCAGUGCCAAGGACAUUGAGUCCAUCCUCGGCGCAGGUAAUUUAGACCGACAUAACUUGUGACGAAAAUCCUAGUUUAUUGUUCAGGUGAAAUGGUUUCCAAAGGAGGUGGCUUGUGUCUAGCCUUGUGGCGAACUGUGUAUGUCUCGGUGGGUUGGCUGGGUGACUUCAGGUGUUGAAUGGCUUGCGUAUGUUAUUUUUGCGCAGUCGGCGCUGAGGCGGAUCCCAGUAGGAUAAGUCUGUUGCUGAAGGAGCUGGAAGGGAAGGACAUUCUGGAAGUGAUUGCAGCGGGUAAGGAGAAGUUUGCCUCCGUGCCCUCGGGUGGAGGUGGCGGUAUCGUCGUGGCUUCUGGUGGUGGUGGCGGUGGUGCCGCUGCACCAGCUGCUGAGGAGAAGAAGGAAGAGUCUAAAAAGGAGGAGGAGAAGGAAGAAUCAGAUGAUGUGAGUUUAACAUUCUCUCAACUAUUUCGAAAGUUAGGUCGUUUAGCAUGUGACUCUUUGAAGCCUAGUUUACUUUGUUGUUUUGAGUGUUUAAGCACACAAAAUUGCUUUCAUUAACACGUGGAAAUGGUGUCUCAUUGUUAUUGCUAACUAUGGUGUUUGCGGCCUUUCAUGCCAAGCUUCAACGUGUUGCCAAUGGCUAGUUUAGGUCUCUAAUUAGGUUUUCUCUUCACU
rnacentral:lncRNA from 1 species